CGAAAGCCUGACGGAGCAAGACCGCGUGGGGGAGGAAGGUUCUUGGAUUGUAAACCCCUUUUCUCAGGGAAGAAAAAAUGACGGUACCUGAGGAAUCAGCAUCGGCUAACUCCGUGCCAGCAGCCGCGGUAAUACGGAGGAUGCAAGCGUUAUCCGGAAUAAUUGGGCGUAAAGCGUCCGUAGGUGGCUGUUCAAGUCUGCCGUUAAAGACCGGGGCUUAACCCUGGAAAGGCGGUGGAAACUGAACGGCUAGAGUGCAGUAGGGGUAGAGGGAAUUCCCGGUGUAGCGGUGAAAUGCGUAGAGAUCGGGAAGAACACCGGUGGCGAAAGCGCUCUGCUGGACUGCAACUGACACUGAGGGACGAAAGCU
rnacentral:rRNA from 1 species